UGGGGUAUAGCCAAGUGGUAAGGCAAUGGUCUUUGACUCCAUCACUCGUAGGUUCGAAUCCUUCUACCCCAG
rnacentral:tRNA from 1 species